rnacentral:rRNA from 1 species
GGAAUCUUGCGCAAUGGGCGAAAGCCUGACGCAGCCAUGCCGCGUGAAUGAUGAAGGUCUUAGGAUUGUAAAAUUCUUUUACCAGGGACGAUAAUGACGGUACCUGGAGAAAAAGCCCCGGCUAACUUCGUGCCAGCAGCCGCGGUAAUACGAAGGGGGCUAGCGUUGCUCGGAAUUACUGGGCGUAAAGGGAGCGUAGGCGGGUUGACAAGUUGGAGGUGAAAGCCCAGGGCUCAACCCUGGAAUUGCCUUCAAAACUGUCAGCCUUGAGUAUGGAAGAGGUAAGUGGAACUCCGAGUGUAGAGGUGAAAUUCGUAGAUAUUCGGAAGAACACCAGUGGCGAAGGCGACUUACUGGUCCAUGACUGACGCUGAGGCUCGAAAGCGUGGGGAGCAAACA